rnacentral:rRNA from 1 species
AUUGAACGCUAGCGGGAUGCUUUACACAUGCAAGUCGAACGAGUGGCGGACGGGUGAGUAAUAUAUCGGAACGUGCCCAGUAGCGGGGGCUCACUACUCGAAAGAGUGGCUAAUACCGCCUACUCUUGGAGCGGCCGAUAUCGGAUUGGCUAGUUGGUGGGGUACAGGCUCACCAAGGCAACGAUCCGUAGCUGGUUUGAGAGGACGACCAGCCAAACGGGGACUGAGACACGGCCCAGACUCCUACGGGAGGCAGCAGUGGGGAAUUUUGGACAAUGGGGGAAACCCUGAUCCAGCCAUCCCGCGUGUAUGAGAAGGCCUUCGGGUUGUAAAGUACUUUUGGCAGAGAAGCGGUAUCUGCAGAAUAAGCACCGGCUAACUACGUGCCAGCAGCCGCGGUAAUUC